CGUUACUGGCCUUCCCAACACCCUUCUUUCUUUGUUGCAGCAGAAGAUGGUACAGAAGCCUGAAUUCCAAGCCACCUCUUGGAGAUUUGCUUAUUUCUUUGGGUAUCUCCUAGUAUACAUAAGGACCUUACUUAAUGCUGGAAACGAGGUUCUACGGGGGACUCCGGUGUUUUUUCUCCUACUCUCCGAGGCCAACCAAGAUCUCUUCAGAUAUCUUCAGCUCAGCCCAAAGGAGAAGCUUUCAGGAGUUCCAGGACUUUCCCAAGGAUGAAAGCAGUUGCGUGGCUGAAAGGCAGCAGCCCAGAGCAAAGCGGAUGCUCUCUAGCGGGGGUCACAGCUGGUAAAGACUGAAAAUCCAGAUCCUAAAAUUCAACCAGACCUAUCAUACCAGCAG